AUUGAACGCUGGCGGCAGGCUUAACACAUGCAAGUCGAGCGGUAGCACAAGAGAGCUUGCUCUCUGGGUGACGAGCGGCGGACGGGUGAGUAAUGUCUGGGAAACUGCCUGAUGGAGGGGGAUAACUACUGGAAACGGUAGCUAAUACCGCAUAACGUCGCAAGACCAAAGAGGGGGACCUUCGGGCCUCUUGCCAUCAGAUGUGCCCAGAUGGGAUUAGCUAGUAGGUGGGGUAAUGGCUCACCUAGGCGACGAUCCCUAGCUGGUCUGAGAGGAUGACCAGCCACACUAGAACUGAGACACGGUCCAGACUCCUACGGGAGGCAGCAGUGGGGAAUAUUGCACAAUGGGCGCAAGCCUGAUGCAGCCAUGCCGCGUGUGUGAAGAAGGCCUUCGGGUUGUAAAGCACUUUCAGCGAGGAGGAAGGUGGUGAACUUAAUACGUUCAUCAAUUGACGUUACUCGCAGAAGAAGCACCGGCUAACUCCGUG
rnacentral:rRNA from 1 species